UACGUAGGGUGCAAGCGUUGUUCGGAAUCACUGGGCGUAAAGGGUACGCAGGCGGUCAAGUAAGUCAGGGGUGAAAACCCGGAGCUCAACUCCGGGCCUGCCUUUGAAACUGCUUGGCUAGAGUCGCAAUAGGGGUGGCAAGAAUUCCUGGUGUAGGAGUGAAAUCUGUAGAUAUCAGGAGGAAUACCAAUAGCGAAGGCAAGCCACUGGGUAGCGACUGACGCUCAUGUACGAAAGCUAGGGGAGCAAAUGGG
rnacentral:rRNA from 1 species